rfam:Bacillus sp. JCM 19045 DNA, contig: contig00035.
AUCCUCUUUAAAAACAGUCCAGAGAGGCUGGCAAGAGGAGAGAAUGCAAAGGACCUACGUGUACCUUCUGCUUCUUUCUUGCCGCCUUCUGUUGACGCAGAAGGCUUUUUUUA